GGCAUGUGCUCCAGAGGCCCAGAAGGCUAGUCAGACACAUAGUCUGUAAAAUGAUCACAAUAAUAUUAAUGGAGGUCCGACUGCUGCACUGUAUAUGUAUUAAUCAUAUGUAUAUGUUUAUGUAUAUGUAUAUGUUUAGUCAUUUCGAGGACUCUGUGAUGAGUGAGUUUAUUAUCCAUACUUUAUACACAAAGGAAAUUAAAAGAGGAGACUGAAAAAUCCGGUCUGAAAUCCUUCAGCUGGAGUAUGGGAAAGCUUGCCAAUCCAGGAGGCAAGCCUAGGCUUUAACCAACACACUGAGAUCAAAUGGCGGGGCAGGGGUGAUGAUGAUAUUUUGUUUUCACUUCUUUAGGUUUAGGUUUAGGUUUUGAUUAGGUGGAAGUUCUCAAGAUUAUCUUUUCCGUCUGAUGAAUUCCUGCAGGCUCCCUUCUAUUCACAGUAUAAAAGCACGAAGGGCCAAUGCCUUCCUAUAUUCCACCUCUUUGUGUGGUGUAUAUAACUACAGCCAUUCCUUUGUUCGUGAGGUAAUAACCUCACCUACAGACGGACAAUUUAGACAAGCCUUUCCUUCCCUUCUCAAAUCUUCUUCUUCUCAUCUACCGCCAGCUCCCCUGGUUCUUUCCAUUGCGUGUCUACUGAAAUUGCCUCUUCAGGUGGGUCUGUCAGGACCCCAGCCCUGUCAUUCUCCUAAGCACAUAUCUAUAUUCAUAGCAUUUUGAUCCUUUAUCACUUUCUUGUUCAUGUUGAUUAUCUUCACUAGUAGAACAUAAGCCCCUAAAGUUCAUCCACUUUUUGACAUUAGUUUCAUAAUCUCAGUGCCUAAAACUCUUCCUGGCAUGUAUGUGGCUGUGGUAAACAUAUGAAGAUAAAAAAAAUGCAUGAAAUGAAAUUGAAAACAUGUGGUAAAUUGAUGGAUGGUACAAUCCUGGUUUUUGUCCAUUUAGUAAAACCAAUUUCUUUUCUAAGGAAUUCAGGAGCAUCUCCAGAAAAGGACUGUUUCUGUUGCAUCCCACAAAUUUCCAUAAGCAAAACAUACCCUCCCUUGAUAUCUUGCUGCUUCCUACAUCAUGUAGGGAUAUCUACUACACAUUUCUUAUUGUAUUAUAUGCUCACAGUUUGCAUCCUCAUGACCCCCUUACAAACUCAGAUCCAUGUAAAAAAAAAAGUUGUUUUAUUGCUCAAUGAUGAAUAAAAUUAUCUAUAAUAAAAUAUCCCUGGAAUGUUGUGGGGAUCAACACUGUCACAAAGGAAUGAACAUAUUAGCAAUUGUCUGUUCAGCUAUCUCUUGAUCAAGGUACCUCUAAUCUCGGGAGUUAAAAUGUUGGUUUACAUGUGCAUGGAAAUCAUAUAUUAGGGUCUUUCAUGCUACCCCUCAAUUUCCUGCUUGGUUGUAAAACUUAGCAUAAAAAAAUCAUUAAACAAUUUAACCAAAUAAUGUAUUUCUUCAACUAGGCAUUCUUAAUGACAUGGACCAUACCAUGAACAUAAUAGCUUACUACUGAAUUUCUUGGUAGAACAGAACAGAUUUGUCAAUAUCAAAAUAAAUAGCUUAUUCACUAAUGUGCAUUUCUGAGGUUUGCGUCUAGUCCUUUAGGCAAUCUUUAAACCCCUAGUGCCUAUUGUAAAUGACAGAGUCUAUAUUUUUAUUUGAAAAAGAUUAACUACAUAGUUUAGACAUUGGGAUGGAGUUUUAACAAAGUACUUUCUGUUUUAUUUAAAUCUCAAUAGUUGAUGUAGCCAUAAACAAUUCACUAUGGUUUAUACGAUAAGAUUAAAAGCUAGAGCCCAUUGGCUGAAUGCAUUUACCCAAAUAUAUGUGCUUUUGUCUAUGGGCAAAACCUCUCAAAUUUCAUGACAUCUUACAAGUUCAUGGCCAUUUAUAAGUCAUAUCUAAUAUUGGUGGUAGACAAGUAGCUGAUAGAACGCUAUCUCAUACAGUUACUUUCUGGGGAAAGCCAUCCAUCCCUAUGUGGGGUGUGUUACCCACAAGACUGAAAAUUGCCAGGGUAUUAUCAGCAGUUGCAUGGUUUUUGUACUCGCAAAGAAAACCUUAAAGUUUUAGAACGUCAGGUUCCCCAUCCAUAAAGUUGGCAUGUUUCUUAUUAUUUAUCCCUAAGACAUACCUUACAAAGUAUUGAGAUGACAUCUAAUCAUUUUUUUCUGAAACUAAAGAUGCAGUAUGAAUAUAAAAGUGUGCCUUGUGUGGCUAUUGCUCUCUUCCUCUUCAUUGUAAUAGGUGUCAUUUGGAUGUUUAAUUCUAAAAUAUUUUUUUCUAAAAGACCCUUUGGCAAGACUACAAGAAUACAAAUGUAUUUGUCCUAUAAAUGCCCUACAGUCAAU
rnacentral:lncRNA from 1 species